rnacentral:rRNA from 1 species
GGAAGUAAAAGUCGUAACAAGGUCUCCGUUGGUGAACCAGCGGAGGGAUCAUUACCGAGUUUACAACUCCCAAACCCCUGUGAACAUACCAAUUGUUGCCUCGGCGGAUCAGCCCGCUCCCGGUAAAACGGGACGGCCCGCCAGAGGACCCCUAAACUCUGUUUCUAUAUGUAACUUCUGAGUAAAACCAUAAAUAAAUCAAAACUUUCAACAACGGAUCUCUUGGUUCUGGCAUCGAUGAAGAACGCAGCAAAAUGCGAUAAGUAAUGUGAAUUGCAGAAUUCAGUGAAUCAUCGAAUCUUUGAACGCACAUUGCGCCCGCCAGUAUUCUGGCGGGCAUGCCUGUUCGAGCGUCAUUUCAACCCUCAAGCCCAGCUUGGUGUUGGGACUCGCGAGUCAAAUCGCGUUCCCCAAAUUGAUUGGCGGUCACGUCGAGCUUCCAUAGCGUAGUAGUAAAACCCUCGUUACUGGUAAUCGUCGCGGCCACGCCGUUAAACCCCAACUUCUGAAUGUUGACCUCGGAUCAGGUAGGAAUACCCGCUGAACUUAAGCAUAUCAAUAAGCGGAGGA